GACGAACGCUGGCGGCGUGCCUAAUACAUGCAAGUAGGACGCAGUUGCGAACGGGUGAGUAACGCGUAGGUAACUACCUAUUAGAGGGGGAUAACUAUUGGAAACGAUAGCUAAUACCGCCUACUAGUAGAUGGACCUGCGUUGUAUUAGCUAGUAGGUAGGGUAAUGGCCUACCUAGGCAACGAUACAUAGCCGGGCUGAGGGGGUGAUCGGGCAAACUGGGACUGGGAAACGGCCCAGACUCCGACGGGAGGCAGGAGUAGGGAAUCUUCGGCAAGUGGGGGAACCCUGACCGAGCAACGCCGGGGGAGUGAAGAAGGUUUUCGGAUCGGAAAGCUCUGUUGUGAAGGGAGCGGUACUUAACCAGAAAGGGACGGCUAACUACGUGCCAGCCGCCGCGGUAAUAC
rnacentral:rRNA from 1 species